UGGUAGCAAAGACGAAGCAUAUAUGGUUGCUGCAGUGCUGUUG
rnacentral:sRNA from 1 species